rnacentral:rRNA from 1 species
CCUACGGGUGGCAGCAGUGAGGAAUAUUGGUCAAUGGGCGCGAGCCUGAACCAGCCAAGUAGCGUGAAGGAUGACUGCCCUACGGGUUGUAAACUUCUUUUAUACAGGAAUAAAGUUAGGCACGUUUGCCUUUCUGUAUGUACUUUAUGAAUAAGGAUCGGCUAACUCCGUGCGAGCAUCCACGGUAAUACGGAGGCACCGGCCGUUAUCCGGUUUUAUUGGGUUUAAGGGGAGCGUAGAGGGUUUGUUAAGUAAGUUGUGAAAGUUUGCGGCUAAACCGUAAAAUUGCAAUUGAUACUGGCAUUCUUGAGUACAGUUAGGGUAGGCGAAAUUGGGGGUG